rnacentral:ncRNA from 1 species
ACGUUAUGGUGUGGACAAAUUCAUUUAUCGUUAAUUUAGUUUCUGUCGUUAUUAAUGAAACGACUUGUUUUUUAAACAAUAAUAGUAAAUGAUGCCAUGCAUAAACGAAGUAUUGAUGACGAGACUCCUGAGGGAACAGGACGAGCUGAAGACUGCAGGCUGAGGCUGUCCCCUCGGAAAGCGAAGUCAUUCAAUACGAGUUUUAUCAUAAAAAAGAAGCGCUA